rnacentral:rRNA from 1 species
UACGAAGGGGGCUAGCGUUGUUCGGAUUUACUGGGCGUAAAGGGCGCGUAGGCGGAUUUUUAAGUCAGGGGUGAAAUCCCAAGGCUCAACCUUGGAACUGCCUUUGAUACUGGGGAUCUUGAGUCCGGGAGAGGUGAGUGGAACUGCGAGUGUAGAGGUGAAAUUCGUAGAUAUUCGCAAGAACACCAGUGGCGAAGGCGGCUCACUGGCCCGGAACUGACGCUGAGGCGCGAAAGCGUGGGGAGCAAACAG